ACUUUGAGAACAGGACAUAGCUCUGUGGUGAAGCAUUUGCUUUGCGUGCAGAAAGUCCUAGGUUCAAUCCCCAGCAUCUUAAAGUA